AGAGUUUGAUCAUGGCUCAGAUUGAACGCUGGCGGCAGGCCUAACACAUGCAAGUCGAGCGGUAGCACAGAGAGCUUGCUCUCGGGUGACGAGCGGCGGACGGGUGAGUAAUGUCUGGGAAACUGCCUGAUGGAGGGGGAUAACUACUGGAAACGGUAGCUAAUACCGCAUAAUGUCGCAAGACCAAAGUGGGGGACCUUCGGGCCUCAUGCCAUCAGAUGUGCCCAGAUGGGAUUAGCUAGUAGGUGGGGUAACGGCUCACCUAGGCGACGAUCCCUAGCUGGUCUGAGAGGAUGACCAGCCACACUGGAACUGAGACACGGUCCAGACUCCUACGGGAGGCAGCAGUGGGGAAUAUUGCACAAUGGGCGCAAGCCUGAUGCAGCCAUGCCGCGUGUAUGAAGAAGGCCUUCGGGUUGUAAAGUACUUUCAGCGGGGAGGAAGGCGAUAAGGUUAAUAACCUUGUCGAUUGACGUUACCCGCAGAAGAAGCACCGGCUAACUCCGUGCCAGCAGCCGCGGUAAUACGGAGGGUGCAAGCGUUAAUCGGAAUUACUGGGCGUAAAGCGCACGCAGGCGGUCUGUCAAGUCGGAUGUGAAAUCCCCGGGCUCAACCUGGGAACUGCAUUCGAAACUGGCAGGCUAGAGUCUUGUAGAGGGGGGUAGAAUUCCAGGUGUAGCGGUGAAAUGCGUAGAGAUCUGGAGGAAUACCGGUGGCGAAGGCGGCCUCCUGGACAAAGACUGACGCUCAGGUGCGAAAGCGUGGGGAGCAAACAGGAUUAGAUACCCUGGUAGUCCACGCCGUAAACGAUGUCGAUUUGGAGGUUGUGCCCUUGAGGCGUGGCUUCCGGAGCUAACGCGUUAAAUCGACCGCCUGGGGAGUACGGCCGCAAGGUUAAAACUCAAAUGAAUUGACGGGGGCCCGCACAAGCGGUGGAGCAUGUGGUUUAAUUCGAUGCAACGCGAAGAACCUUACCUGGUCUUGACAUCCACAGAACUUAGCAGAGAUGCUUUGGUGCCUUCGGGAACUGUGAGACAGGUGCUGCAUGGCUGUCGUCAGCUCGUGUUGUGAAAUGUUGGGUUAAGUCCCGCAACGAGCGCAACCCUUAUCCUUUGUUGCCAGCGGUUAGGCCGGGAACUCAAAGGAGACUGCCAGUGAUAAACUGGAGGAAGGUGGGGAUGACGUCAAGUCAUCAUGGCCCUUACGACCAGGGCUACACACGUGCUACAAUGGCAUAUACAAAGAGAAGCGACCUCGCGAGAGCAAGCGGACCUCAUAAAGUAUGUCGUAGUCCGGAUUGGAGUCUGCAACUCGACUCCAUGAAGUCGGAAUCGCUAGUAAUCGUAGAUCAGAAUGCUACGGUGAAUACGUUCCCGGGCCUUGUACACACCGCCCGUCACACCAUGGGAGUGGGUUGCAAAAGAAGUAGGUAGCUUAACCUUCGGGAGGGCGCUUACCACUUUGUGAUUCAUGACUGGGGUGAAGUCGUAACAAGGUAACCGUAGGGGAACCUGCGGUUGGAUCACCU
rnacentral:rRNA from 2 species